rnacentral:lncRNA from 1 species
CAGCUGCGCGAGUCCAACCAGCAGCUGGACCUGAGUGCCUGCCGGCUGACCACGCAGUGUGAGCUAUUGACACAGCUGCGAAGUGCCCAGGAAGAGGAGAACCGGCAGCUGCUGGCUGAAGUUCAGGCCCUGAGCCGGGAGAACAGGGAGCUCCUGGAGCGCAGCCUGGAGAGUCGGGACCACCUGCACCGCGAACAGCGGGAGUACCUGGACCAGCUUAAUGCCCUGCGCCGCGAGAAGCAGAAGCUCGUGGAGAAGAUCAUGGACCAAUACCGCGUGCUGGAGCCUGUGCCCCUGCCCCGGACCAAG